GACGAACGCUGGCGGCGUGCUUAACACAUGCAAGUCGAACGGAAAGGCCCUGCUUUUGUGGGGUGCUCGAGUGGCGAACGGGUGAGUAACACGUGAGUAACCUGCCCUUGACUUUGGGAUAACUUCAGGAAACUGGGGCUAAUACCGGAUAGGAGCUCCUGCUGCAUGGUGGGGGUUGGAAAGUUUCGGCGGUUGGGGAUGGACUCGCGGCUUAUCAGCUUGUUGGUGGGGUAGUGGCUUACCAAGGCUUUGACGGGUAGCCGGCCUGAGAGGGUGACCGGCCACAUUGGGCCUGAGAUACGGCCCAGACUCCUACGGGAGGCAGCAGUGGGGAGUAUUGCACAAUGGGCGGGAGCCUGAUGCAGCAACGCCGCGUGCGGGAUGACGGCCUUCGGGUUGUAAACCGCUUUCGCCUGUGACGAAGCGUGAGUGACGGUAAUGGGUAAAGAAGCACCGGCUAACUACGUG
rnacentral:rRNA from 1 species